AGCAGCCGCGGUAAUUCCAGCUCCAAUAGCGUAUAUUAAAGUUGUUGCAGUUAAAAAGCUCGUAGUUGAAUUUCGGGAUCAAUUAAUUGGUCGUGCCUCUGGUACGUACUGAUUUUAUUGGUUUCUCCCUUCUGACGAACCAUGAUGUCAUUAAUUUGGUGUCGUGGAGAAUCAGGACUGUUACUUUGAAAAAAUUAGAGUGUUUAAAGCAAGCUAACGCUUGAAUACAUUAGCAUGGAAUAAUGAAAUAGGACGUUUGAUCCUAUUUUGUUGGUUUCUAGGAUCGACGUAAUGAUUAAUAGGGAUAGUUGGGGGCAUUAGUAUUCAAUUGUCAGAGGUGAAAUUCUUGGAUUUAUUGAAGACUAACUACUGCGAAAGCAUUUGCCAAGGAUGUUUUCAUUAAUCAAGAACGAAAGUUAGGGGAUCGAAGACGAUCAGAUACCGUCGUAGUCUUAACCAUAAACUAUGCCGACUAGAGAUCGGAUGAUGUUAAUUUUUUAAUGACUCAUUCGGCGCCUUA
rnacentral:misc_RNA from 1 species